UUAACAGGACAGGAAUCAACAAAUGUUGGAGAGGGUAUGGAGAAAUGGAACCCUUGCGCACAGCUGGUGGGAAUGUAAACUGGUGCACCUACUAUAGAAAAUAGUAUGGAAGUUCC